GGCUGCCAUUGCUGUGGACGACUCAUCACUGUUUAUGCCAGGCCUCCCCUGGGAGUCACGUUCAAGACAUGCUCGGUUUCUUCCAUCGACACUCACUGGGAGGCGCCUUUCUAGUCUUCCAAGAAAGGCCUCCUGGUAAAAACUCCUAUCAUUUGCAUUCUUGAAUCUCUGAUUCAUAGUUCUGAUAUUAAGCGUGCUUUACCUUACUCAUAAACACACGUUGGGGUUCAGAAUUUAAAAGGUACAGAAAGGCAUGCCGCAGUCCUUACCCCAUGCACGUUUGGGCCCCAUCAGCCCCUUUCCUCGCCAUCCUUCCAGAGCUGUUGCAUGCACAUAGAAGCAAGUAAGUUGCUUGGGGUGAGGCUAACAUUGGUGUUUAAAUCUUUUUAAAAACCAAAGCAGACACACAGCAAGGCGCGUUCAGGCAAGCAUGGCUGCGCAGCACGGAGGACCGCGAGGACAGCACAAGGCAGGGGGCGCUCCUCGGCGGCGGGGAGCCUGGGAAGCCCUGGUUGCUCGGUGCAAACACGACCUCAGAGGGCAGGCUGCUGCCGAGGUUCUGGCCUGCGUCUUGUCACAGACUCAGCGACCAAGUGCCAGCAGGGGUUCCGUGGUGGAGGAACUUGCUCCAGGACUGAAGACUGAUGGCCACACCGUGGCUGCUCACCCUUCUAAUCUGCUUGUUGAGCAGGCUAGGAACCCCUGUAGUGGUGGUUCUGGGAAAAACUACUUAACCGUGGACUGGAAAACGAGGCCACCAUGCAAGGUGGUGCGAUCUGCAAGGGGUGGAGAGAGCCGGGAAAGAGGUAUGCCAGGGGGUUCGCGUGUCCACCUUGCCCGGGUGAAAGAAACGGGAGCAAUGAAUACAUUUAAAAAUUUAAUAUUAGACCAACAGACCAAGUACAAAGCAAAGGCCCACAGCAUUUGAAGACGAGACAUGAGAGCUCUGGCCUCCGGCCUCUGGCUCCCCCAGCAGCAUCUGAGCGUCUUGUGUUAGGGGAGACAGAGCGGAAGAGUUUGAGAAGCAGAAGAGCUACAGAAGAAAAGGAGAUGACAAAUCCACUAAAGACUCAGAACUUGCACAGAAGCUCCCUCAAAACAGACAACGGGGACAGAGGUAAGACGGGCUGAGCAGAAGGGGUGGAUAGGGGCCAAGGUUUUUUUUUAAGUCACUGGGUAAACGUUGGUUUAUAAAGGAACUCUGAUCCUUUCCCUACCAGGCCAAUUUGUUCCAGCAGAAAACACUGACUCAGGUGGGUGUACCUGGAGAUUACAGUUUGGGUCUGAUAAACUCUCCUUCACAAAACCCAGGCAAUUUUCAGGAAUGGGAGAUAUUAUAAACAGGCUGGGAAAAAACCCAAACCAACCCUGCGCUUGUAAAAUUGUGCACUGGACCAGCUGUUAGCAGGGAGCAACAACAGCUUAAAACUCUUUAAUCCUGAUAAACUUUUCUGGGCCUAACUUCUUUUGAAUUCUCUUUAAUUCCUACAAAGCUAGGCAGGGAGAAGGAAUGCAAAAUGAACUGUGACGCCACCUGGAAAGGACUGCGCCUUGUUCUACCCAGGGGUCCAGCUGCAUGAAGACUAGGAGGGACGGAAACCUUAUUCAGCGAGGUCAUGAGGGGGUCAGACCACCACACACCAAUGACAGUAAAUAGAAUACUCCGUGUGCUGACUGCAGACUGGCCUCCUUGGUGGCGGAAUUUGGUUGAAAGGAAGCAGACAACCCUCCUGACAGAGCUGCCUCCCAGGAAGGUGGCCCGAGGAAGCAGCGUGCUCUGCACGGGUAAGUGAGGCCUCCUAGCCGCAGCUCCCACUCGGCUCCACCGUCCUCUCUGGCCGGACGUGGAUCUGUAAUGACCGAGUAUCUUAAGCAAGCUGGGAAACCAUCCAAGCCUUCCCGACUCAAGGGCUCCAGGGUGCUGAGGAAAGGCGCGCGGUCGCCAGCGUGAUGCGCUCACAGCCGGCGGGAGAGCAUCUGCUCUCUAGAGGAGUGUGGCCAACCGUCCCCAUGAGGACAUACCCACUGUGCCCACUUCCUCCGGUUCUGUUUCUGAUGGUCCUUUAUGCCUUUUUAAUCAAGAUUGUCUAUUUUGUCUUUUCAAAAACUGCUUUUGGCUUUAUGGUAAACUUUACUAUUGGUUGGUUUUCUAUUUACUGAAAUUAAAUAUGAAUGUGUGCUUUUAUCCUUAUUUAACUCUUCUACUUUCUUUGGGAUCACUGUCAUCUUUCUUAAGCUCUCUGAGGUGAUGGUGGAGUUCACUUAUUUUCAGUCUGUCUGAUCUUCUGUUAUAACGUCACAGCUCCUGUCUGUCCCCUCUGGCCACAUCCCGGGAUUUUGAUGUUCAGUGCCUUCACUGUCACUCUGGUCUAGAGAGCUCGUUUUCCAUUUUUAUUUCCCUCUUUAAAAGUGAGUUAAUUCAGGAGUGUUUGGAAUUUCCAGGAGUGUGUUUAUGUUUUCAUUAUUUUGCUUUUUGCGGAUGUCUAAUAUUACUGCUUUGGGGAUUGU